GGUGCUAUACUUUAAAUUAAAAGACCUGUUUUGCAUUCAGAAAUUAAGAAAAUUCUUUAGCGCUG
rnacentral:tRNA from 1 species